GAUGAACGCUAGCGGCAGGCUUAACACAUGCAAGUCGAGGGGUAGAAGGAGCUUGCUCCUUUGAGACCGGCGCACGGGUGCGUAACGCGUAUGCAAUCUACCUUGUACAGGGGGAUAGCCCAGAGAAAUUUGGAUUAAUACCCCAUAGUGUAAUGAAAUGGCAUCAUUUUAUUACUAAAGUUCCAACGGUACAAGAUGAGCAUGCGUCCCAUUAGCUAGUUGGUGUGGUAACGGCAUACCAAGGCAACGAUGGGUAGGGGUCCUGAGAGGGAGAUCCCCCACACUGGUACUGAGACACGGACCAGACUCCUACGGGAGGCAGCAGUGAGGAAUAUUGGUCAAUGGGCGCAAGCCUGAACCAGCCAUGCCGCGUGCAGGAUGACGGUCCUAUGGAUUGUAAACUGCUUUUGUACAGGAAGAAACACUCCCUCGUGAGGGAGCUUGACGGUACUGUAAGAAUAAGGAUCGGCUAACUCCGUGCCAGCAGCCGCGGUAAU
rnacentral:rRNA from 1 species